AUUGAACGCUGGCGGCAGGCUUAACACAUGCAAGUCGAGCGGAGAGAGGUAGCUUGCUACUGAUCUUAGCGGCGGACGGGUGAGUAAUGCUUAGGAAUCUGCCUAUUAGUGGGGGACAACAUUUCGAAAGGAAUGCUAAUACCGCAUACGUCCUACGGGAGAAAGCAGGGGAUCUUCGGACCUUGCGCUAAUAGAUGAGCCUAAGUCGGAUUAGCUAGUUGGUGGGGUAAAGGCCUACCAAGGCGACGAUCUGUAGCGGGUCUGAGAGGAUGAUCCGCCAGACUGGGACUGGACAACGGCCCAGGCUCCUACGGGAGGCAGCAGUGGGGAAUAUUGGACAAUGGGCGCAAGCCUGAUCCAGCCAUGCCGCGUGUGGGAAGAAGGCCUUAUGGUUGUAAAGCACUUUAAGCGAGGAGGAGGCUACUUUAGAUAAUACCUAGAGAUAGUGGACGUUACUCGCAGAAUAAGCACCGGCUAACUCUGUGCCAGCCGCCGCAGUAAUAC
rnacentral:rRNA from 1 species